GAUGAAGAACGCAGCGAAACGCGAUAUGUAAUGUGAAUUGCAGAAUUCAGUGAAUCAUCGAAUCUUUGAACGCACAUGGCGCCUUCCAGUAUCCUGGGAGGCAUGCCUGUCCGAGCGUCGUUUCAACCCUCGAGCCCCCGUGGCCCGGCGUUGGGGAUCUGCCCAGGCAGUCCCCGAAAACCAGUGGCGGACCCGUUACAGGCCCUUCCCUUGCGUAGUAGCAUUCGCCUCGCAUCGGGAGCCGGCGGGCUUCCAGCCUCUAAACCCCCAGCAAGUCCGCCCCGGCGGCACCAAGGUUGACCUCGGAUCAGGUAGGAAUACCCGCUGAACUUAAGCAUAUCAAUAAGCGGAGGA
rnacentral:misc_RNA from 1 species